rnacentral:rRNA from 1 species
AACGUAGGAGACAAACGUUAUCCGGAGUUACUGGGCGUAAAGGGCGUGUAGGUGGUUUCGUAAGUCUGGCGUGAAAUUUUUCGGCUUAACCGGGAAAGGUCGUCGGAUACUGCGGAACUAGAGGACGGUAGAGGCGUGUGGAAUUCCGGGUGUAGUGGUGAAAUGCGUAGAGAUCCGGAGGAACACCAGUGGCGAAGGCGACACGCUGGGCCGUACCUGACACUGAUGCACGAAAGCGUGGGGAUCAAACAGG